rnacentral:lncRNA from 1 species
UUUAAAAUUUAUAAAGAAUGUAUUUUGGGUCAGGGGCUGUAACUCAGUGUACAGUGCUUGCCUAGUGUGUGUGAGGCACUGGAUUUCAUCCUCAGCACAAAUUUUAAAAAAAUAAAUAAGUAACAAUAUUGUGUUCAUCUACAACUAAAAAAAUAAAGCAUUUUGCUCCAGUGGCUGAUUACUUCAUGUUAUGCCUCUUCUAGAUCCUCUAGCUCCUCACUGAUAUUCUUCAAAGGAAAAAGCUUAAAGAGCAUCCAUAUAGGUCAUGGGGAAUUACUUAAGAAUUGUAAACAAGAAUGGACGAUAUUGCAUUUGCUGCUUUAUCUCCAAGUCAAAAAGAACUUCUGGCACAUAAUAACUACUCAAUAAACAUUUGAUGGAUAGGGGCUGAGGUUGUGGCUCAGUGAUAGAUUGCUUGCCUAGCAUGUGUGAGGCACUGGGUUCGAACCUUAGCACCAUAUAAAAAUAAAUAAAUAAAAAGAUAUAAAAAAUUUGAUGGCUAAAUUCAUGAAUUAUGUUAAGAAGGGGGAGACUUGAGCACGAAUGUUCAUUUGUCGGGUAGAGGGCUAAGAGGUCUUAAGAGGAAGAAUUGAAGGUCUAGAGGAGAAAGGUAGGAUAGAAUGUGGUCUCACUGAGUCAGUGAAGUUUGAGAUCCCAAGCUACUGGAGAAAUCAUCCAGGAUAGAGUGACUGUUUAAACAGAAGGGAAGGAGGAAAGGACAGGAACAAAGGCAGAUAUUUAUAGGUGGUAGAGGAGGAACUUGUGGGAGUCCUUUCUUGAUGGCCUUAGGAGUAUUCUUUCAUUUAAAAAUAGUGAAUGUAUAUGUCUAUGGAAAACUCUUUGUAGAGAGUUAAAAAAAAAAAAAAAAAAAAAAACCAACCCACCCCUGUUUAAGCAGCUAUGGAAAGUCAUAGCCACAUAAUUGUAGGCACACACAAGGUUGUGGUCAGUGACCUAAAGGGUAGGUGAGGUAAGGAUGUGCCAGAGAGGAUGAGUAAGAGUAGGGGAGACAAGAGGGCUCUGGUCUCUGGCCUGAAUGUUGGGUGUGGCUGGGAGCUGACAGAAGGGAAUGUGCACACCUAUGUGCCGCUGUUUUUCUCUGCUCUACAAGUAGCAGGAGACUAUCCUUAAGCUCUUAGUGAAGUGGGGUAAGAAAGGGCAGUACAUGAGGCAGUACAAGAAUGAACAGAAACUUGAACCUUGAGUGAAGUGGAGUCACUUAGUUAGCAGUGCUUGGGUCUUCCCCAGACUGGUUUUCCAAUGAUCUAUUUCUGAU